GACUCCAGGCACAGCACGGCGCGCCGCCGGCGGCCUUUCCCUCGGCGUGCGCGCCACGCCAGGGCUCGCCCCGCAGCCCUAUAAAAGGGCGACGCCUCCUCCCCUGCUCGCCCUGUUGCUCCGCUCGCUUCUGCGCCGCGCCUCACCCUUGCUCUGCAUCACGCGCCGCCACCAGCAGCUUCCGGAGCAGAGCACCACCGCCGGCUCGCCCGAUUCGCCGUGCUCGUCGACCACCGGAGCAAGCUAGCGCUGCCAGGAAGACGGUAUCGCUGAGCCGCACGCUUUCCACCACCUGCCGCCGUUGAAUUGCCGCCAGAGCUCCUCGUCCAUUCAGCGCCGCCGCCUGGAGCUGGAGAAGCAGGGAGCCGUCGCGGUCUUCCCCGGCCGAUUCGUCGCGCUCGUCGGCCGCCGGAGGGAGCUGGCACCACGGGGAGCACCGCGACGACGAGACGCACCUAGCCAGCCCAUCCUCAUCAUCAAUCGAUCGCCGGAGCACCGCCGCCACGUGAAGACCCGAGCUGCCCGUCGUCGGUCGCCGUCCGCCAUGAAGCCUCCGCCGAUGCCGUCCACCUCCGUCCUCUCCGCCGCCGAAGGAAUGUCGUUCGAGAGCUUUGAAGAACAAGAGCCGAAGAUAAUCUGAGCAACGGUACUCUGGAUAAAAGCAACCAAUGUUGCUCAGAAGAAAAAGCUGCUGUGAAGUUGUUGUGAAGAUGAUACUGAGUUCUAGGCGUACGUAAUCCAUGAUCGAUUGUCCGUGAAGUUUGGAGCCUCCAUUUCCAGAAUUAAGCUGUAAAUCUCUGAUAGACUUUCUUUUUAUUUACGUGAUACUAUUGUUAAUGUAGAUCCUAGCAUGGUACCAUUUGAUUUUAUUUUAAAAUUGGAUGUGACACAAAUGGAGCCCAACUUCUUUUCUCCCAGCUGCAAAUAAAUCUUGUCCUGAACUAAAGGAGAAACGCGCGGCUCGGACCUGUCUAUGGGCCGAUUUUUUUUCGCUGUCAAUGUCUUCUG